ACGAGCGUUAUUCGGAAUUACUGGGCUUAAAGGGUGCGUAGGCGGCGCGGUAAGUAGGGUGUGAAAUCCCUCGGCUCAACCGAGGAACUGCGCUCUAAACUACCGUGCUUGAGGGAGGUAGAGGUGAGCGGAACUUAGGGUGGAGCGGUGAAAUGCGUUGAUAUCAGCAGGAACACCGGAGGCGAAGGCGGCUCACUGGGGGUCUUCUGACGCUGAGGAACGAAAGCCAGGGGAGCGAACGGG
rnacentral:rRNA from 1 species